UAUUUAGGCUUUCUUUUCAAUCAUCUUUUAAAGAGAUUUAAAUCUAAAAAUAAGUUACAUACUUACUCACAUGGGAAUCAUUUCUGGUGUUCUUAAUUCCUCCGUGUAGAUCCUUAUUUCCAGCUGGUACUAUUUUCCCUCUGUAUGAAGGACUUUCUUUAACAUUUCUUGUAGUGCAGGUGUGCUGCUGAUUAAUUUUUUCCUGCUUUUGUGUGUUUGAAAACAUCAUUAUUUCACUUUUGCUUUUGAAAGCUAUUUCACUGGGUAUAUAUUUGCUGAAAUUAUCUUUUUAAAGAUAUUUUCAUUUUAAAGAUAGUGUAGGUUGACAGUUUUUUCUUCCACUACUUUAAAGAUGUUGCUUCACUGUCUUCUCACUUCAUUGUUUCUGACAAGAAAUCUGCUGUCAUUCUUAUUUUCUUCCUUUAUGUAAUAUUCCUUUUUCUCUGGCUGCUUUAACAUUUUCUCUGUAUCACUGUUUUUGAGCAGUUUGAUCAUGUUGUGCCUUGGCAUAGUUUUAUUUAUGCUUCUUGUGCUUGGGAUUUGUUGAGCUCUUGGUCUGUGGGUUUAUAGCUUUCAUUAUUGUAGAAAAAUUUUGGUCAAUAUUUCUUCAAAUACAUUUUCUAUUCCCCAUCUCCUCUUCUUCAGGAACUCUAAUUACACCUAUGUUAGGCUGCUUGAAGUUGACCACAGCUCACUUUUCAUUUGGGGAAAUUCUUUUUCCUCUAUGUGUUUCAUUGUGGAUAGUUUCUAUUGCUAUGUCUUCAAGUUCACUAAUCUUAUCUUCUGCAAUGUCUAAUUUCCUGUUAAUUCUAACCACUGUGUUUUUCUUCUCAUGCACUGCAGUUUUUGAUCAAGUUUGAUUUGAGUUUUUUCAAAUCUUCCACGUCUCUGCUUUGUUAUUUGAACUUGUGGAAUACAGCUAGGAUGUCCUCUGCUAAUUCCAACAUUUGUGUUAAUUCUGGGUCAGUUUUUUUGAUGGAUUAAUUAUUUUCUUAUUAUGGAUCAUGCUUCCUGCUUCUUUGCAUGCCUCAUAGUCUUUAGUUGGAUGCUUGACACUUGUAAAACCUUACCUUAUUGAGCACUGGAUAUUAUUGUGUUGCAAUAAAUAUUCUUGGCUUUGCUCUGGGAAGUGGUUAGAUCUUGGAGUCAUUUUGAGCCUUCUGGGUCUUGCUUUCACGAUAUAUUAGACAGGUCUGGGUAAUUACUCAGCCUAGUGCUAAUUAUUCUCCACUACUGAGGCAAGACCUUUCUGAGUACUCAACUCCCUGGCCUCAAAUGUCCCACCAGAAUUCUGAAUUUUUCCGGUCUAGCUGGUGGAAAUAGGCAUUGCUCCCGGCUUGCGAGCGUGCUGGGCACUGUUUCCUUUAAUCCCACGGAUGAUUCUCUCACAGACCUCGAGUAGCUUCCUCACACGCACACAGUGAUCAGCACUCUGGGGAAUCCUUGAGGGGGACCCUCUGUACGUCUCCAGAGCUCUCCGUCUGUGCAGCUCUCUUCUCUGAUGCUACGUUGUGAACACCUUGGUUUUCCUGCAUCUCAGCUCCAUCUCUGCUGCUCAGGGAGUCUUCUGGGAUCUGCCUGGAUCCUCCUUCCCUGCACCAGGGCCUGGAAACCUCUCAGGGCAGAAAGCUGGGGCAGUUACAGGCUCGCCUUGCUUCCUGCUUCUCAGGGAUCAUUUCAUUGCUGAUGUCUAGUGUCUUGAAAACUGCUAUUUCACACAUUCUGUCUGGUUCUUUUGGCGGUUUCAGGUGGGGGUAAAAACAGCCUGUCACUCCAUCUCGACCAGAGGCAGAAGCAGUCCCUCUUUGUAAACCAAGUAUUGGCCAUCUCCUGCUCUCUGGGCGUGUCAUCCCAUACAAAACUGGACAAAACGCCAGCUGUCUCCUGACUACAUGUCCUCCCCACAACCUCCCAAGGGAUAAGAGAGUCAGGGAGGCAGGAAAACGUAUAGACAGAGUCUUCAGCAGAAGGAGAGAUUGAAAAGUGAUUCGACACAGGUUGUUAGGCACCUGGGCUGGUCAGGACAGGAUCCAUUACCUGGCCAGAGGCAGGCCAGCCAGAAAGGGCCUCCUCAUAAGGAUGCUCAGGGACGUUUGUCCCGACAGACAGAAGAGCCUGCUGUUCACUGUCCUAGUGCUGCCAACACGGAGAGAGCCUAGAACCCCAAGCUACGGUUCAGGUUGGUGUUUAGAGAGCAGUUUUUCCCUGAAUUGGAGAAAUACAUUGAUGACCCAGCAAGAAAGGUUUGAGCUGUGACAGGUCAGGAAGAAGUGCAAGAACCAAUCUACCCACGUGGGGGCAAAAUAACAUAGCAGCCAGUGGAGGGGCCGAGCCUAGAAUCGUGGCAAGGAUGGCCACAGUCACCGCUGCCCAGCCCCUGAGCUGCUAUGCUUUGGGUGUUUCCCGUCGGUUAUCUUGUUUGGUCCACACGGUGACUUGUGGGGACACUUUUCAUCCAUUCCCAUCGUGGGGAGGUGGUUACUGAGGUUGGUGCUUGUCCAGGGAGGUGGCAUUCUCUCUCACUACAUCCCAGCAAGGCAGAGCCAACACUACCCUUGGAAUCGGGAGCAAAAGGUAGUGCAAACCACGUCCUCUCUCUGAGCAGAGUCCCUGUCUGUGACAUAAGAUGCUAGACAAGAUGGUCUUGACAGGAAGGGCCCACCAGCACUGACUUUCUGGGGUCCGGUCUGAUGCCACGGCUGCAACGGGUUAUUAGCAAAGUUGAGGACCUCUGGCUCCCUAACCUAGUGGCAGUGCCAGCAAGUGAGUGCAUGUGUGUGUGUGUGUGUGAGCGUGUGUGUGUGUGCAUGUGUGGUAGCAGGAACUCCCAGAGGUUUAAGUCCAAUCUGAGACUGGGGCCACUGAAUCUCCCCAGCCUACCACUGUCACAAGAAUGUGGCAGUUGGGGUUAAGCUGGGCAGCUAAUCUGGCUUUGAUCCUGACCCCCUGAGCAUCGAGGACACUAGGGUCAGGACCACCCGCUCUGGCCCUGGAUGAAACACUGAGCAUAAAUCUAGCCCACUCAACCCGACCUGAAGCCCCUGGAAGGCUGAAGAGCAGGGGCCAGGGCUGCUCUGGGAUGGGAGAGAACCUGCCCCUGCCACCUCCUUUUUGAGGCUCCUGGUUCUGAGCAAGGAGCAAAGUGCUGUUCACUUGGCAGGUGCUCUGGGCACAGGGGAUGCAGCAGUGAGCAGAGGGGUCGAAACCCCUGCCCCUGUGGACCAGACAACACUCGAAAUAGACACUGGGCCGGCUCGCUGGCUGUAAGAAUGAGACAAGUACAAAGCAGGGAAGGGGAGGCGGGGCUGCUGCGGCGAGUGGGUUCCAGUUGAAGUUUUGGUGAGAAUGGGACAUUUUAGCAAAGACAGGGAGGAGGUAGGUGAGCCAGGCAGAGAGCUGAGGGAGGAGUGUUUAGGCAAAGGGAAUGUCAGGUGCAAAGGCCCUGAGGCAGGAGAGAGCCUGGCUUGCUUAGGGAGCAUCUAAGAGGCUGUAGGGCUGAGGGGCGCUGCAGGAGGGGAGCCAGAGCAGGGCAGCCCUGUAGACUCUGGUAAUGCCGGGCCACACUCUGAGCAACGUGAGAGUCUCUGGAGGGACAUGGCAGAAUGACAUGAGGAAGAAACUGUAACGGUCUGGAAGAACAAUGGCGGCUCGCGGUGGCUUAGACUGGGAGACGGUGAGAAACGGCCAGGCGCGCGAGGCAGAGCCACAGGAUGUGUUGACAGAUUUAAUGUGAGGUUUGAGAGAAAGCGGAGACCCAAGGAUGACUCUGAAGAUUUUAAUCUGAGCAACUGGAAGGAUGGAGCAACAGGAUGGAGUUGUCAUUUUCUGAGUUUGAGAAGACUGGGGGGCGGUGGGAUCUGGGAGUGGGGAGGUCAGGAGCUGUCGUGGGUGUGUUUACCUAGGAGACGCCUACUAGCCAUCCGAGUGGCAACAUCCAGUAGCGAGUUGGGUGCAGCAUCUGGAGCUUGGGGUGGUCCGGGCUGGGGAUAGAUGAGCUCUGGGGCUCGUCAGAGUAUUAUUGAUGUUUGAAGCUUUGAAACUGGGUAGAUUCCCAAGGAGUGAGCGGAUGUAGAAGAGAGAAAUUCCACUAACGACACCCCAAGAACUCCAGGGUUUGGAGGCUGAGAGAGGAGGAUGAGCCAGCAAAGCGGACGGCCAGGAGCAGCGAUGCGGGACGAGGAGAGGGCUGGGGAGUCUGUCGGAGCCAGGACGCCAAGAGCCACGUCCUCGGGGGUCUGAGCACUGACCCCCCGACUGAGGGAUGUGAAAAUCUUCAGUGGCCUUGAGGUGGACACUGUGGAGCCGGGUGGGUGAGAACUGUCGGGGAGGCUGACAGGGAAGGGGAACAAUUGGAGACGGCAAGUGGAUGACUUGGGAGGGGCUUUGCCUUCAGAAAGAGCAGAGGACUGAUGGCAGCUGGAGGUAAGGUGGCGUCAAUAGAGGGAUUUCUGAGAUGGGAGAAAUCACAGCGUGCGGGAUGCCGUGGGAAGGGGGCACAGGCUGUGGUGGGGUGGGGGGAACGCAGCUAGGACAGCCGGGGACGGGUGGAUGUGGUGGCCCAGCCUGGACAGGUGUCUUCUGGUUGCUGCUGUUUCCAGAGCCAGGAAGGAAGACCCCGCCGGAACUGAGAGAGGGUGGUGCACAGGGUGGAGGCUGGGGUGAGAGGCUUGCGGACAGCAGGGGGAGCGGCCCACGGGCAGAGGUGCUAAGGGUGUCAGGGAGCCAUGGCCACGCCUGUGGCACCCGGCUGCGCGACGAGCACUUCCUCAAGGGAGGCUGCAGCCAUGGGAUGGGCAAGAGGUUGGACGUGCCCAGGGUUGGAUCGUGUCAGACAAGAAUUCCACGUGGGCGAGGGGCCAGGGGGCUGAGCGUGUGUGGGGAGCGUGAUGAAAACGAAGAACGCUACCCUCGUAUGGACAGAAGUGAGGCUGCAGAAGGUUCUGGGACGUUAAUUGCUGGGAACAGAUUGCAGCUGGAAACCCUCUAAGUGCCAGCUAAAUGCCACAAAGAAAACUCCAUCGGUGUGGGACUCUGGGAACAAAGGCUCCACGUAAACAUCUCCCGAGGAGUGGAAUCUCUGGGUGACUCAAGGACCUCACAUUCAGACACUGAAGUUGUGAAACCUGAAUACCUGAUUAGGCUCUUUAACCGUCUCCUGUGCUCGAUGACAGUGGAAUGUUGACUUACCAAGCAUGAGUCAUCAGCAGCAGUACCUAGGAAAAUACCCAGGUCACCCAAUUACAGCAUUAUCAAUCGCUGCCAUCGCUCUAUAACCCAACCCAAUGAAACUGGAGAAAAUGCCAGCUGGGCUGGGCCGGGAGGAAUCCAGCCCUUGGCGAAGGCCACCUUCCUGGCAGCCGCCUCUGCGGUCAUGCCAAGCCACAAGCCCUGUGUGGUCGAAGUGUGCAGAGGUGUCGGCCCCAUUGCACAGUCAUGGAAACUAAGGCCUACCAGGGUCGAGGCUGCUCCUGCAGCUCCAAACCACGGUAGAGAACCCAAGGCUGCCUGGAAGAGGCGGUGGUCUCAGGUGGCCAAAGCUUGGGGAGAGUGGCUCAGUCAGCCGUGUGCCGCCAUCUUGGCCACUGGAAUGGUUAUCAUUCAUGGAGCAUCUUUUCUGUGCGGGUAGGAGCUGAUGGCUGCACUUGCAUUAUCUCAGCAACCUCAAAGUAGGUGCCAGCAUUGCCGUUUUAUAGAUGGCGGAACUAAGGCCCAAAGAGUACGUCACUUACCUGGGGUUACUCAGCUAAGAAGUGGCAGCACUGGGUUAAACCCAGCCCUAGCUGACUCCAGGUUCACACUCUUUCCCCGGUGACUUGCUGCCUUUCUGUCUUCUGUCAAGCUGAGUGACGGAACCUGCCUCGUCUUGAUGGAUCCGUCUCAAAGUCCUGUGUGUGCACGCUGCACAAACACGCAGCCAUACCGGUCAGCAGAGAUGUGCACUGUGGAGUGGCCGCACCGCGCCUGCCUCUGACAUCCUGUGGGCGGGAGCCUGGCCCGGCCUCGAGAGCCAGAGCGGGGAGGCCAACUCCAGCUGGCCCACCCACGAGCCGGUAGCUCUCCAUGCUCUUAAUCAGUAAGAUAUGUUUUGGGAAUAAAAACCACAUCAGCAUUUUUAUUUUCAAGUUCAGACAAGGUUUUUUUUUUUUCUUCCCAAUUCACCCUUCACAUGGGCGAGGCUAAUCCUCCUGCUUUGACUGACAGAUCUUUGGACUCAGCUGUACAUGGAGAGAGGCAAAGAGGCAACGACAACAGCACAGAGAAGACGUCUCCUCUUCCUCGAGCUGUUCGUAUGUCAGUAAGACCACAACCCGUAAUUAGAAUGCAAAAUGGUUAAAGGUGACACCAAACCUGUGGCAGGGCCUGUCUCUGCCGCGGUCCGGCAAACGCAGACGGGAAGUGCUGAAGGGUGGGGCCUGCCCUUCCCAUUUAGUGCUCACGGAUUCUCACCUGCUUUCUGGAGGGUCUGCCCUGCAGGGCGGGGAGCAGGGGUCCACAGGGGGAGGGGCUCCAGACGAGAGCUGGGAGGGGAAAGCUCGAGCAGGGCUCAACCUUGGGAGAAGGAUGAACUAGAAUAACAAAAGGCAGAGGUGACUGGGGAUGAGGGCAGGGAAGCAGGAAGGAGAGGGCGGGCACUCGGGGAGGCCCAGGUGGGAGCCGCGGCUCCAGGGAAACCACUUCCAAUCAAGAAAAACGAAGAUCAGGAAGAAGCCUCCCUUCACGAAAGGGGAGGAUUUACCAUGGUUACAGAGUAAAUAUUAGAAUUUCCCUUUUUCCCCCUUCUUAGUGUUUUUCAGAAUGUAUUCAAGUUAAAAGUCUCUGCUCCUGGAAGUGAACGUGACUUCUAUUUAAUAAAAGGGGCGGAGGGUGGAGGGAGACAAAUUCAACGUAGCAAACUUAUCGGGCAUGUGUUUGGGAAGGUCUCCAAGGGUAACGUUUAAGCAGAGCCCCAAAGGCAGAGUCAGGAUGAGCCAGGUGAGACGGAGAGAAAACUCAGGCAAGACUCAGUGUGGCGCUUCUGGCAUUCUCAAUAGGGCAGUUCUUCAACGCGGAGCUUGUUCCAGGUACUGCUGAGUGUUUGACGCCCGGCCUCUGCCCCCUAAAUGUCAAUGACAUCGUAUAGUGGUUGUGACAACUCACUCCCACACAUUCCCAAAUGCCCCCUGGUGGGGGUAGGGUGUACUGCCACCAGAGAACUCCUAGGGAUCAGGUGUGUGCACGCACGCUCCAGCAUGCCUGCGGGGAGGGGGAGGUGUAGGCAUGGAGUGGGGAAGGAUGGAGAGGAUAGUGGUUAGAGAUGAGCGUAGUGAGGGUGUCCAGAGGCAGGCAGCACUCGGGUCCCAUUUCCUUGAAGGUCAUAUUGGGGACUAAGCCACUGAGGCAUCGGGUGGGGGGAGUGACAGAUUUGCACUCUAGAAAGAUCACUCUGGCUGCCAGGUGAGGCAGGCUUUAUAGGGUGUUAGGAUUGCAAGUAGAGGCCUGGGAUUUUCCUCACGGAAAGACUGACUGCAAAUUCAAUUUCUGUAAUAGAGAUAGGGCAUUUGGGUUUUCUAUUUUUUUUUUCUAUUCAUUUUGAUAAUUCAUGCCUUUCACAGAAAAAAUUCAUUUAGGUUUCCAAACUUUUUUGGUAUAAAGUUCUUCAUAUUUCUUCAUAUUCCCUCAUUUUCUUUUUAAUGUCUGUAGGAUUUGUAGUGAUGUCCCAACUUUUACUGCUUGUAUCGAUAAUUUGUGGCUUUUUGCAUGAGCAGUCUCACUGGAGGUUUAUCAACUUUACUGAUCUUUCCAAAGAACCAGCCUUUGGUUUCCCUGAUUUUCUCUGUUCGCCCAUUUUCUAUUUCAUUGAUUUCUGCUUUUAUUGGUAUUGUUUCCUUCCUUCUACUUAUGUUGUGUUUCAUUUGCACUUCUUUUCUAGCUUCUUAUGGUGGAAACUUCCCCAUCAGGGAACCAGACCACCCAUCUGCUGGUUGUCAUACUGUGGUUUGGCUGAGUUGCUGUGAUGCUGACAGCUAUGCUACCCGGAUUUCAAAUACCAGAAGGGUCACCCAUGAUGGGCAGGUGUCAGUGGAGCUUCCAGACUAAGACAGACCAGGAAGAAGGACCUGGCCACCCACUUCUGAAAAACCUGGCCAUGAAAAUCCUGUGAGUAGCAGUGGAGCACCGUCUGAAACAGCGUGGGACGUGAGAGGACAGCUGAGAAAGACCAGGCAGGGUCCCCUCUGCUGUGCACAGGGGCACUAGGAGUUGGAAUCAACUUGACAGCACUGACGACGACGACGGUGGAAACUUAGAGAACUGAUUUUAAAUCUCUCCUCUUUUCUAACAAAGCAUGUUAGAGCUCUAAAUUUCCCUUAAACACUGCUUUAGCUUCAUUUCAAGAAUUUUCAUAUAUUAUGUUUUCCUUAUCAUUCAGAUAAACAUUUUUAAUUUGUUUUGUAA